CAGGGGCUUUGGAAUGAAUUAAACUCUGGGAAUCAAUCUGAAGUUUCUACAUUUUAUCAUUACCCAGUCCACAGAACCAAUCUCAUAGGCCGUGAAUAAGACUAAGGGUUGAUGUGGAAAUGAGGUUAUAUCAUCCUACCAUAAACUUGAGCUCAAACUCAGCCCUGCUAACAUAAAAUAAAGAUGAACUUAUCAUCUUGCAUUUACAUGAUUAACUUAUAAAAUGACAAACCGUACGUGCUUAACCCCAAAAAUUAGAACGAAAAAUUAAAAUAUUGAUAAUUGAUCCCUCCCUUCUUUCACUGGAAUGCAGCCGCAGAACUGGCCUUUAUCACGUCUAAUAAACUAACUUCUCCACUGUUCUGUGAUUCUCUUCUAUAUGGAUUGCAUACCUCUAACGACCCAGCUAGAAAAUGUUUACCUGGUCUUCUUGGCUUUGGCCAAUUUCUUCUUUCUUUUCUUUACAGCCUUAGGAAUUUUAGUCUUCCGAGCUUCUCUCUUCUCUUCUUUGACUUUCUUUUUGUUCUGUUUUCUAGCGGUUCUUUUAUCAACAGGAUCCUUUUUCUCAACUUCUGACAGGGAACCACUCUCAUCUGAGUCGCUUGAGUUCUCAUCAUCAUCUGUCUCAGAAUCAGAUUCACUUUCAGGAGUUUUAGAAUGGUCAUCCUCAUUUACAGAAAACACUUCUACAGGGUUCAAAUUCUCUUCCUUUUGGUCUUUUUGGGCUUCAGAAAACUGAACUUUAGAUAGAGCCUCCUUUAGUCCUGUUAUGGUUUGAUAGUACAUAUCUCCUGUAUCCUUGCCACUUGUUAUCCUUAUUACAUCCUCCUCAGCAUUCUUGACAUGAUCUAAUGUCUUUGGAAUAUAUGACUGCACAAAUACGGAGUCUGCAAUUUCAUCCUCUACUGUGACAUCUCUUGACAAAAUUUUUUGCUGAACCUCUUCCAAGUAACUAUCAACAGAAUCAUCAGUAAUUGUUGGGUCAACUAUGAAGUCAAAUAGCUCUCGAAUUGUCAUGACAGCUACACCAUGUUUCUUAAAAAAAUCAGAAACAUGAACACAAUCUUCACNNNAUCAAGGGCAUGAGGGUGGUCGAGAUCAACUGCUUGAGAGACAUCAAUUACAUACAAGUGACCCUCAAAAUAUAGUAUGUUAUAUUCACUGAGGUCCCCAUGCACCAG
rnacentral:misc_RNA from 1 species